GGAGGAGUAGUUCAGUGGGAGAACACACGACUGAAGCUCGUGACGCCGGGGGUUCAAUUCCCUCCUCCUCCA
rnacentral:tRNA from 1 species